UACGUAGGGUGCAAGCGUUAAUCGGAAUCACUGGGCGUAAAGGGCGCGUAGGCGGCUUGAUAAGGUUGCGGUGAAAGCCCGGGGCUCAACCCCGGGUCGGCCGUGCGGACUGCCGGGCUGGAGCACUGUAGAGGCAGGUGGAAUUCCGGGUGUAGCGGUGGAAUGCGUAGAGAUCCGGAAGAACACCGGUGGCGAAGGCGGCCUGCUGGGCAGUAGCUGACGCUGAAGCGCGACAGCGUGGGGAGCAAAGAGG
rnacentral:rRNA from 1 species